rnacentral:lncRNA from 10 species
UAUUUCCAAAUGCUCAAAUCCCUAGUUUGUCCAUUUUUUAAAACCAUAAAACUUUAAAUGAGAAAAUAGAGAAGCAAAUUCCUUGCCCUCCCAACAUUGUCCCCACCUUUUCCUUAAUUCAGUUUCAGAUCAUAUCAAUAUGGAGUAUCAGUGAGAUCUAUGUCAUUUUUUUCUCAUUCUUUAUGUUUUAGGGGUUCCAACAACUUCACAUAAUACAUAAUCACCUUAUUGUUUUGCAACAUGGAAAUAUUUUUUACUGACAUGAAAUUCUCUUAUUUAUGCACCCAAAAAGGAAAAAAGAAAAACUGUCGAUGUUCAGUUCUGAGAGAUGGAGGUCAGAGUAUGCUGAAAUACCUAAAUAAAUCUUUUCAGGUCCAAAGGGGAAACAUUGAUGGAGACUUGAAGAAAACGCUCAGCAAAGCCUAGUGAUUUAUGAAGGCUGCCAUAACGCAUCAGCAGGAUACAGAUACUGACAUGGAAGGGACAGAAAAUAUGAUCCUGCAGAAGCAGGGACAGAACACCAGGAUCAGUCCAUGAGGCAAGAAACAGAGCAUGGAAAGAAGGUACAUAGAGUUGUGCUUUCCCAAUGAAAGACACAACAGCUAAUGCAGUAACAGGAGCCAGGGAGGUCCUGAGGCCAGCUUCAGGCAUGUCUUAGAUCAAGUUUCAAGAUACAACAUUAGGAACCAUGUUGUUGCCACUCUCUUGACUUCAAGUGUCAACUCUGACAGAAAGUUGUGUUCCUAUACCUCUUCCUUCAGAUAAGGCCAAAUGAACACACAUGCUAUUUUGGACCAAGACUCCUUUGAUGUCUGAGACACAUUACUGAAGGACUAAACCAGUUAUCUAGUCUGAUCACUUCCCUUGGCACUAAUUCAUCCUGGCUCUGGCUUCUUCUCUUCAUCUGCCUGCCACUGAGGUCCCAGUAGUCCAAGUUUUCACACCAAGGGCCCUUCCAAUUAUGACAUGUUUAUUAUGUGAUAUAUUCCUUGAUUAUACCACUAACAGAUUCUGCCCUCUUAUAAACUAUCAUGUGUUACCUGUUCCCCACAUUUUGGACUUUAAACAAAUGAGGGCUAACAUUAGGCUCUAAUUCAUCAUUUUCCAAACUGUGUUCUAUAGAAGUGAAAAGACAAUCCACGAAUGGAAAAAAAAAUUUGCAAAUCACAUGUCUAAUAAGGGACUUAUAUCUAAAAUGCAUAAAGAAUCUUUGUCACUCAAGACAACUGACCCAAAUUAAAAAUGGGUAAAGCUAUUUUUCCAAAGAAGAUACACAAAUAAUAAGCACAUGAAAUGAUGCUUGUUAUCAUUAGUAAUUAGGGAAAUACAAAUCAAAACCUCAAUAAGAUAACUUCUUCAUAUCCACUAGAAUGGCUAUAAUCCAAAAGUCAGAUUAGAGCAAGUGCUGCAGAGAAUGUGGAGAAAUUGGAAUGCUUAUAAAUUGUUAGUGGAAAUGUAAAAUAUUGCAGCUGCUUUGGAAAACUUUGGCAUUUUCUCAAAUAGUUAAAGAAAGAUAUGAUCCAGCAAUUCCACUCCUAGGUAUACACCCUAGAGAAAUGAAAAACAAAUGUCCACACAGAAAUUUGUUCACAAAUGUGAUAGUAGCAUUAUUUGUAUCAGGCAAAAAGUUGAAACCACCCAAUUGUGUGUUACCUGGUGAAUGGCUAAACAAAAUGUGGCAGAAUCAUACAAUGUAAUAAUAAUCAGCUAUAAAAAGGAAUUAAAUACUGAUACAUGCCACAACACAGCUCAACCUUGAAAAUGUAUUAAGUGAAAUAAGCCAGUUACAAAAGACUACAUAUUAUAUGAUGCCAUUUAUAUGAAAUGUCCAGAAUAGACACAUUUAUAGAGUCAGAAAGUAGAAUAGUGGUUGCUUAGGGACUGGGAGAUGGGAGUAGACAGAACAAGGUGCUGAUAGCUAAAGGAUACAUAUUGUAUUUUGAUGUGGUCAAAGUGUUCUAAAAUUGAAGGUGGUAAUGGUUGUACAUAUCUGUCAGUAUACUACAAGCCAUUAAAUUGUAUACUUUAAGUGAAUGAACUAUAUGAUAUAUUAACUAUAUGUCAAUAAAACUUUUCAAAAAUGUUCUAAGACCUUAGCUUUUUUUCUCUGAACCUCAUGGAUUGUCAGUCCAAGAAUGCAAUAAAUAUCACUGUUGUUCUGUUUACCAUAUAGGUCAGAAAAGAAAGAAUGACUACUGACCCUUAUCCCACACACGCACACACACAGAAGCUAAAAAAGUAUCCCCACAUUUGGAAGAGACAAGGACUAUAG